ensembl:rRNA 5S_rRNA 5S ribosomal RNA
GUCUACGGCCAUAGCACCCUGAACACACCUGAUCUUGUCUGAUCUCACAAGCUAAGCAGGGAUUGGCCUGGUUAGUACUUAGAUGAGAGACUGCCUGGGAAUACUGGGUGCUGUAGGUU